UACAGAGGGUGCAAGCGUUAAUCGGAAUUACUGGGCGUAAAGCGUGCGUAGACGGUUAUGUAAGUCAGAUGUGAAAGCCCCGGGCUCAACCUGGGAAUUGCAUUUGAGACUGCAUAGCUAGGGUGCGGAAGAGGGAAGCGGAAUUUCCGGUGUAGCGGUGAAAUGCGUAGAUAUUGGGAGGAACACCAGUGGCGAAGGCGGCUCACUGGACCGGAACUGACGCUGAGGCGCGAAAGCGUGGGGAGCAAACAGG
rnacentral:rRNA from 1 species